rnacentral:rRNA from 1 species
AGUGAACGCUGGCGGUAGGCCUAACACAUGCAAGCCGAACGGCAGCACAGUAAGAGCUUGCUCUUACGGGUGGCGAGUGGCGGACGGGUUAGGAAUCCAUCGGAAUCUACUUUUUCGAGGGGGAUAACGUAGGGAAAAUUACGCUAAUACCGCAUACGACCUACGGGUGAAAGCAGGGGAUCUUCGGACCUUGCGCGAUUGAAUGAGCCGAUGUCGGAUUAGCUAGUUAGCGGGGUAACGGCCCACCAAGCCGAAGAUCCGUAGCUGGUCUGAGCGGAUGAUGAGCCACACUAGAAUUGAGACACGGUCCAGACUACUAUGGGAGGCAGCGGAGGGGAGUAUUGGACUAUGGGCGGAGUGCGGAUCCAGUCAUGCCGCGUGGGUGAAGAAAGGAUGGGGGUUGUAAAGCCAUUUUGUUGGGAAAGAAAAGUAGCACGUUAAUAGUCCGCUUAGCUGACGGUACUGAAAGAAUAAGCACCGGCUAACUUCGUG